GCAAGUCGAGCGAGAAAGUACUUCGGUACGAGUACAGCGGCGGACGGGUGAGUAACGCGUAGGAAUCUACCUGGUAGUGGGGGACAACAUGUGGAAACGCAUGCUAAUACCGCAUACGACCUAAGGGUGAAAGUGGGGGAUCUUCGGACCUCGCGCUAUCAGAUGAGCCUGCGUAGGAUUAGCUUGUUGGUGAGGUAAAGGCUCACCAAGGCGACGAUCCUUAGCUGGUCUGAGAGGAUGAUC
rnacentral:rRNA from 1 species